rnacentral:rRNA from 1 species
UACGGGGGGAGCAAGCGUUGUUCGGAUUUACUGGGCGUAAAGGGCUCGUAGGCGGCCAACUAAGUCGGAUGUGAAAUCCCCAGGCUUAACCUGGGAACUGCAUCCGAUACUGGAUGGCUUGAAUCCGGGAGAGGGAUGCAGAAUUCCAGAUGUAGCGGUGAAAUGCGUAGAUAUCUGGAGGAAUACCGGUGGCGAAGGCGGCAUCCUGGACCGGCAUUGACGCUGAGGAGCGAAAGCCAGGGGAGCGAACGGG